rnacentral:rRNA from 1 species
CGAACUGAUUAGAAGCUUGCUUCUAUGACGUUAGCGGCGGACGGGUGAGUAACACGUGGGCAACCUGCCUGUAAGACUGGGAUAACUUCGGGAAACCGAAGCUAAUACCGGAUAGGAUCUUCUCCUUCAUGGGAGAUGAUUGAAAGAUGGUUUCGGCUAUCACUUACAGAUGGGCCCGCGGUGCAUUAGCUAGUUGGUGAGGUAACGGCUCACCAAGGCAACGAUGCAUAGCCGACCUGAGAGGGUGAUCGGCCACACUGGGACUGAGACACGGCCCAGACUCCUACGGGAGGCAGCAGUAGGGAAUCUUCCGCAAUGGACGAAAGUCUGACGGAGCAACGCCGCGUGAGUGAUGAAGGCUUUCGGGUCGUAAAACUCUGUUGUUAGGGAAGAACAAGUACGAGAGUAACUGCUCGUACCUUGACGGUACCUAACCAGAAAGCCACGGCUAACUACGUGCCAGCAGCCGCGGUAAUACGUAGGUGGCAAGCGUUAUCCGGAAUUAUUGGGCGUAAAGCGCGCGCAGGCGGUUUCUUAAGUCUGAUGUGAAAGCCCACGGCUCAACCGUGGAGGGUCAUUGGAAACUGGGGAACUUGAGUGCAGAAGAGAAAAGCGGAAUUCCACGUGUAGCGGUGAAAUGCGUAGAGAUGUGGAGGAACACCAGUGGCGAAGGCGGCUUUUUGGUCUGUAACUGACGCUGAGGCGCGAAAGCG